GGCUUCCUACGGGGGGUAGCAGUGGGGAAUAUUGCACAAUGGGGGAAACCCUGAUGCAGCGACGCCGCGUGAAGGAUGAAGUAUCUCGGUAUGUAAACUUCUAUCAGCAGGGAAGAAAAUGACGGUACCUGACUAAGAAGCCCCGGCUAACUACGUGCCAGCAGCCGCGGUAAUACGUAGGGGGCAAGCGUUAUCCGGAUUUACUGGGUGUAAAGGGAGCGUAGACGGCAUGGCAAGUCUGAUGUGAAAACCCGGGGCUCAACCCCGGGACUGCAUUGGAAACUGUCAGGCUAGAGUGUCGGCGG
rnacentral:rRNA from 1 species